CCAUUUUCACUCUAGCUCUGGAUGUUGGAAGCUGGACCUUUUCGCAGUGGAUCGCUACAGAGUGAAGUUUGACAUCUGUUUUGCUUUGUAUGCUGGCUGUUAAGUAGAAGUGGUGGUUGCAUUUACGUGACGUCUUUCUGCUCAAAGCUUUUGUAAACUGCUUUGAAUGAUCUUCAUCUGUGAAUUUGACUGCUGACGAAGCCUUCAUCCAAAAAUCCAAUGAGACCACCACAGUGGGAAUCUACAUCCUUAAAUUUCAUGACGGAUCUCAGGAC